UUUUUAGGACAAAAGCAAGUUUGAGACGGAUCUGGACAAAUUUUUGAUACCCAAGAACAAGUCCCAUGUUGAUCCUACAGGGAAAACAAAUGUUGUUUUUUCUGAACCGAGUCUGUGCUCCACAUUUGUUUCUGAUGCCAUUCCGAAAUAUACAGUUGAUGUUGCUCAAAGUGUUUUGCCGAGAAAGAGGAAGGU